rnacentral:rRNA from 1 species
UUGGACCUGAUAUCAAACAGGACUACCCGCUGAACUUAAGCAUAUCAAUAA